AACUGGACUGCUGGUUCCAGAUGAAGCCUGCCCUUUCCCAACUGAUUAUUUCUGAAUAAAGCCCACCUGCACACUGGGAGGACAGGGUGGAGCCUCAGGAAGUUCAUACCAUUUGUAGGGGGUAGGAGCCUGGCCUCUCCUGUUCCUGUGUGGUGACCUGAGAAUCAAUUUGUGAGGCAGGAAACCUGCUAGCAGGACUCUCGCUUUGCUGAGUUAAUUUUUCCUUUUUCCUUUCCACCCAAUAAGUUCCAUUUUCCUCACCCUUCUAUGUAUCCACAAGCCUAAUCAUUCCUGGUUGUGUGACAAGAGGCCAGUUUUAGCUGAACUAAGGAGAAAGUUCUGCAACAUUUUUGGCAUCCAGAUAUGGGGCUCGAGGAAAGGAACCUGUAGGAGGAUGUGAGACAGCACCUCGGGGCACAGAUGGCAGGCAGAGCCCCAGACUCGGAAACUGGAAGUAGUUCUCCAGGGUUGAUUUUAGGAGCAGAAGACCACAGCCUGAACUUGAUUAUCAUCUUGGCAGCUACAGAGGAAACCAUGCCCUUUCCGUGUGGCUAGAAUUCGUCACGUGAAUUUUUAAAUUGCAAGGGAGAUGAUUGAUGAAGUCUUCCACGUGCCAGGUGAUCAUAAGUAAUGUUUUACACUGUUCCAUCAUUAUCAAGUAUUCAGUGCGAUAGCUGAGAAAUCUGAGACCAUUCUAAUCUUCAUUAUAUUGGUACAAGAAAGGUGAUUAUAAACAUUUACAUUUGUAGUUGGGGAUGAAAGAUUUGAACUGUGCCUACCAGAGGGUCCUGAUCUGAAAAGAGGGUGAUAAUAGAAUACAGUAUGAGACAUUUCUGUUGAUGGGUAAGAAUCAUCACUCUGAAACAAGGCUGCCUGAAUCUGGAUCCUGGCUCUACCGCUUUCCAGCAACAUUGUGAGGAUUCAGCAAGUCUAGAAUUAUAAUCCCUAAUAUUUAUUUUUUAAGUAAAGGAUGGGAUGUCUGCUAAUUUCAAGUCAGCACCAAACUGGUUCUGGAGGCUGUGAAGUCUGAGGUCAAUGGCCCACAUCUGGUGAAGGCCUGCUCGCUAGUGAGGACUCUCUGGAGAGUUCCAAAUUGGCACAUAGCAUCAUAUGGUCUGCUGGAGUUUGCUGGAGGUCUACUCCAGACACGAUUUGCCUGGGUAUCACCAGUGGAGGCUGCAGAACAGCAAAGACUUCUGCCUGGUCCUUUCUAUGGAAGCUUCAUCCCACAGGGGCACCCACCAGAUGCUAGCCAGAGCUCUCCUGCAUGAGGUUUCUCUCACAUCGACAUAGAAACUCUGCUGACAUUGAUGACUUGCCUGGUGGUGUGAUACAGAUGAUCAUUCAUGAAGGGUCUGAGCCCCUUGCUACUACACCCUGUUCAGGCCUGGAUUGCUGCAUGUAUUAUGACAAUGGAAAUUGAGUACCAAAGAAACAUCCUAGAGGCUUAACUGGGGACCACACAUAGUCCUUUUUGUCCCCAUGGGAUAUAAGUCACCAUAUGUCCUCUUGAUGAUCAGCAUCGAUUAUCCCUGACAGAGUGGUGACUCCUUUUAUUACCUUCUGGUUCUUUCACACAAGGAGCCAGGAAUGCCAAGGCAGCAGUCACAGUUUAUAAUUAAAUGUUAAUCUUGCUGAGUCCUCUGGCAUAAAUGUUCUCCAUUUGGAACUGAAGACCUCUGAACCUGCAAAUUCCACAGUUUUAGGGAUAAGAAUAUUUUAUAAGUGAGUGUCCGAGUUGAUGAGAAGAACUUCUUGGUUCCCAGAUUCAUCUCUUCUUGCUAUAGAAAUGCAGCAUUAUAUAAAUGUCUUUUAAUUCAAGGUAUAAAUGGUCUUGGAGAAUGACACGCUAAUCUAGUAAGUAUCACCUCUGAAUUGGUAUUUACGUUGUGUCUUUAAGAAGUUGUUUCAAUGCUCCCAGAGACCGGCAGCUUCUGAGGAGUGACCAGUCCUGCUCCUUGUUAUAAUGUAAAUCCUCUGAGACGACACAAUGUUGUAUGGAAUCCCAUACUGCUGGGUCAAACAUUCAUAAUAUUUCAAAUUGUGAGGGCUUAUGGAAUGACCUUGUUGCAGAAUUCCUGGGGCCUGAGUUAUGACUCUUCCUCUGGUUUUUUUUUAAACAAACUCCACUUGGCAUCCUUUUGCCAACACUAAUAUCUCCAAUACCAUAUGGCCUGCCAGAUCAUAUGUCCCCAGGUGGUAAUGUUUCAGGUAGACAGGUAUGAGCUAGCCAGGAGAAGGUUCUCCCUGCACCACCAGAAAUGUCAGGCAAUCAUCAGGUGAUGGUUUGGCAGUUAUAUUGCCUCUCAAAAAAUGGUAAUUUGGCAGCUGGCACCAGGGAGAGACAAUCUCCUGAUGGUCCACAGCUGUCACACUAAAGUGUUAAUUGAAUGCAGGUGCCAAGGGGAGGCAACUUCUUAAACAGAUAAAAACACUUGAGAUUGGUAAGCAGCUUCCAAUAAAAUCUCAGGAAUUGGGUGAGUGAGCGCAGGCAUGCAAAUUAAGAGACAAAAUGGCAGAGUAUGACCUUCUGGGGGCAUUCCACCAGAAAAGGGAAGAAAGCCUCAGAUGGGCAUGUGUACAACUUUCUAAACACACUGAGCAUGCUGCAUACUGCAUAUGUGGCCAGCCCUCCCUAUGGGAAGAAUCAUGGGAAAAAGGAACAAGACACUGGGAGUGGGCCAGCCUAUAAAGUCCCAGAAUCAAAGUUAAAUGCCACACUUAUCGUUCAAGUUGCCCACCUGGGUCUCUUCCACGUGUAUUUACUUUUCUUUCCUGUUGAAAAGCCUUUUUAAAUAAACUUCCACUCCUGCUCUGAAACUUUCCUUGGUGUCUUUUUCGGCCUUAUGCCGCUCAGUCGAAUUUUUUCUUCCGAGCAGGCAGGAAUUGAGGUUGCUGUAGACCCAUAUGGGUUCGCCCCCAUAACUCAAG
rnacentral:lncRNA from 10 species